rnacentral:rRNA from 1 species
GACGAACGCUGGCGGCGUGCUUAACACAUGCAAGUCGAACGGAAAGGCCCCCUUGUGGGGUACUCGAGUGGCGAACGGGUGAGUAACACGUGAGUAACCUACCCUUUACUUUGGGAUAACUUCAGGAAACUGGGGCUAAUACCGGAUAGGAGCUCCUGCUGCAUGGUGGGGGUUGGAAAGUUUCGGCGGUUGGGGAUGGACUCGCGGCUUAUCAGCUUGUUGGUGGGGUAGUGGCUCACCAAGGCUUUGACGGGUAGCCGGCCUGAGAGGGUGACCGGCCACAUUGGGACUGAGAUACGGCCCAGACUCCUACGGGAGGCAGCAGUGGGGAAUAUUGCACAAGGGGCGGAAGCCUGAUGCAGCAACGCCGCGUGCGGGAUGACGGCCUUCGGGUUGUAAACCGCUUUCGCCUGUGACGAAGCGUGAGUGACGGUAAUGGGUAAAGAAGCACCGGCUAACUACGU